UUUCUCUCUGUUUCCCUGGCAGGCGUGUUCUUGUUAAGAGCUUGUUCGGAGUGGGAACAUGGGUAGCUCUGGGAGCCCUGCUGACCAUUAUCUUCCCAUUCAGGAAGGCCUUGGGUAAAUUGCAACAUGAUCUCCAGUGUCCACUUCCCAUUUGUUAUUCAGACAAUAAAACGGAUAUAACUCCACGCAUGACCUUGGUCCAUGCUUGCUAGGUGCUCCAAGGGAGUUAACUGGAAUCAGCAGUGGCCUCCCUGAAUUCCGUGGAAAAGACCAGAUGCAUAUGCUUCUGCUAUUACGGUGCUCAGUGUUUGGAAAGGAGCAGUUUUGCAUUGUUAUGCAAACACCAAGGUAAUAGAAUGUGUAUAAAUUACGGUUUGCAACGUGACCAGAUUUAUUUAUGGCCUCUGGAGAGAUGUACUACUUCUAGUGCUGACAGAGGUCAGGUCUUCCAGGAUCCUGGCAGCUGCUGAGCAAGUGAGGAAACAAAGAGCCCCCCAGUGUGGUGGGUGAGCGUCAGAGCCGGAAAUCCAGGGAGGGCAUGACAUUGAGCCUUCCAACGUCCGAUCUUUCCAACGUCUUCACAGCCGGAUCUCCUUGUCAGAGCUCUGGAAGAAUGGUAUUUUGUUUCCUCCCCUCCAUUGGCAAGCGAGUCCCAGGCAUCCAAAUGCAGCAAGACAGGACACAUCUUGUAAAGGGCAUGACAGUCUACUUUUCAAGUCUCAGGAUUAUCUAAAGACAGAAGAGUUCUGCAAGGUGAAAUGAGUGAACUUGCUUCCUUCAGGGUGCAAUGCAUUUAGAGAAGAACAGGAGCUUCAUUGACACAUAAAUAAUUGAGACAAACAAGGCAUACAGAUUUGCUGCUUAAGUGCUGAACAUGUUCAGACAAGAUGGAAGAAAUUGUUCAAAAAAGGAGAUGGGAAGAAAAAAAAUUCUCUGAAGAUAGAGGAGUAUCCGUGUCAGGAUGAAGAAAGUGGCAAGUGGGUAAAUGUGACAAAACAGAAAAAGAGAAGGAAAGAAAAUUCACUAGGGUAGGAGCUAUGGAAAGGCCUGUGAGCCUACAAAAUUAAGCUGUACCUGGAAGAUACAAAAUACUAGGCCAGGUGAAAUCCUAAUGAUGCAAGAAACACAUGCACAUUGCUAAGUAGAAUAACCACAGUUGUAACUCUUGGGAAAUAACAAUGGUUAAUACCUUUUGAACUGGGACUCCAGAAAAAGGUAAAUUGACAUGCUUAUCCAGGAGCUGAGCAGUUUUCUGGGGGCAUAAAUCUCAGCCAUAAAUGAGACCUGCUUGGACUCAUUAAACUCACUAAUCAGUUAACUCCAGCUGGGAGGGAAGGAACAAAGGAGAAAUUUGUUCCCAAACCAUGUUCCCAAGGAAACUUCCAAAAGAAGGGAAAAAAGGCUCUGUGCUGAGUUAAGCUCAGGCAGUGUCAUAUGCUAAAUCUUUGCUUUUGGAGAGUCUCAGGAAAUCAACCUGGUAGACUUAGUUUAGCUGAGACUUUUCCAAAGAUAUUUGACCAUGGUAUACUUUUUCAGUAACAUAUACAUUAAAGUAUGGAACAAACUUUUUGUGAAUGUAUGAUUCUUGAAUAUCUGGUAAUGCUCAUUGGCCUGUCAAGUGAUUUGAUAUUUACAGAGAAAAAAAAAAAGAAAGAAAUACUUUUAUUUGUACAUAUUUCACAGCUUUGAAAUAGAAGAUUCUUAGAUUUUCAGAAAUUCAGUUAUUUUCUUAUAAUCUUGUGUGUGCUACACAUACUAUAUCAUCUGUUCAUCCUGCCUUCGAUUCAGUUAUUAGAAAAUAGAUGGUUUUGGCUGAAGUAUUUUCUAACCACUUGCUUAUUGCAUAAGCUAAGUUCAUGUUUUCUUUUUAUAGUUGCUAUGCAUUUUAGCCCCAGUUGAUGAAAAUUGAUUAAAAUGUUGUACAAUAGAAUAAACACCAUGAUAAAUAUUGUAAAGUGAAUGUAUCUUCUCAAAAAUAAUAGUGUGGAUAUAGAAUACAAAUCUGCAUUGUCUCAGAAAAGUAAUCACUCGUAACACAUUCACCUGAGUGGCCAAAAAAGAAAACUACAUGUAAAAGGUACAUUGAAUAUUCAGAUGGAUACAUUGAAGUACAAUUUUAUAGGAUCUACGAUCUAUUUCUAGAAUUCUGUCACAUACAAACAAACUCCGUUUAUUAUGCUCUUUUCAAAGUGCUGACAAAUCAGUCAAUCAAAUCAGUCUAGCUUCUUCUAAAAUAGGAAUCGGAAUAAAAUUAUGUUUAUUCAGAGAACUGCUGGGAUCUCCAAGUUGUCACAGCACAGCAACCACAAACUUCGGGGCCAAGAAAGGGAAGGAAAAGGGGGAAAAAAAAUUAAUGAGCUGGAAAACUGGAGAAACUCCAAAAUCUUUGGGAAAUAGAAAACAUUUACAUGACAUAGGAAAUUCUUGAAUCAUGUUAUUAAGUCAGGAAGACACAACAUUUACUGUGGGAUUUUUUUGAUCCUACAUUCCUCAAAAAAAGAAAAAGUACGUCGUGCUAUUGCCAGAAAGAUGAUAAACUAGCGUAAUUAAAGUUGAAAAAGAAAAGAAAAUUUGCAGGUUACAAUUUUUGAGUCAAGUAAUAUUGUAGACGUUGCCUAAUAUCAAGGAUAUAUGAUUUACAAAGGCAGUUGCCAUCACACACUUACUAAAUACUUAGGAAUUUCAGUUGGACAAAACCAGUGAUGUGCUCGACAUGAAUUCAUUCUCUGCAAAGAUGCAGUCCAUUUGAGAAAGAAAAGUGCUCAAUGACUCUCUCUGUUGGUCAUCACUAAAUAUAAUGCUAACAGAGAAAUUAAAAGAAUUGCUAAUAAUGAUAAUAAAAAAAAUGUUAAAAAAAUGUUAAUUGUUAAUUGAGUUGUGCUGCAGACUGGAAAAGGUGUUCUGAGAUAGGCAUGGGAGAGCACGUGCUACCUGUAUAGGAAGGAAUGGUGUUAGUGGGUAGAUUGCUUUGAAUGCCAGGAACCAACAGCUUUAGUCACAGAAAAUGUUUGAUUGGAAACAGUUUCUCUUUACAAUUACAAAAACAACCACAUUAUUGUGAGUGUUUAUUCUUCUUUUCAGUGUGUUUGAUUGAACAGCUUGUCUGAGACUGAUUUUUUUACUGGAGUCUUCCAGCUGUCGGUGAAAAACAGGUAUACGCUCACCAGUUUUUAAAAUAAAGAUGAUAAAGAUAUUUUUCUUGAAACAUGUUAUGGCCAAUAAUUUCAAGGUUUAUUCAAAUGAUGAUAUGUUUGAAUCUUGAAAAGGCUAAACUUAGUGCGUAAAAGCAUAUAGAUCAUGACUUUGUCUUGCUGAAUCAAAGUAUUCCAUGAUUUAAAAUAAGACUGUAUUGUAGAGCAUUUUGGCUCAUACCAUGAGUUUGAUUCUUAUUCAGUGCUUGAUGAUUUUCUUCUCUCAUCAGAGAAAAAGAUUGAUAAUGUGUCAUGAUUAUGUUUUACAUCAAUAUCUAAAUGCUGCCACAAAAUUACUUUCCAGGGCCAAAUACAAUGUAGCAAACAAAAAUCUAUUUGCAAGAACCUUCCAAAUUAAAACAUUUUAAUAUGCUUUGGUUGCCAAUUUAUAUUCUGGAGGCCCAUUAAAGAUAGUGUUUGAUGUGAAAUUUCUUCAUGAUUUUUGGGUCAGUGUUUAACUUUUUAAAACUAUGGAAGUUUACUGCCAUUAUGCUUGACUUAUAAGACUAAAAAUAUAAAUCAACUCAACCUGUACCUAUUACUUAAUCUAUACCUAAUCUCCCUAUUUAUUUCUGGCAUUAUGUUGAGAUCUUGGUGUGAGAUUAGAAGUGAUAUUUUCCUUAUGGCUGAUCAGAAAUGAAUGAAAAUGCCAAUUUCAACAUAAGCUUUAUUUAUAUAACUUUAAAUCAUAACACUUAAAGUUUACCCAGAGUUAGUGAUAGGGAUUUUUGUUAAAUAACUAGGACAUGUGUUGUAGAUAAAAUGUUUGAGAAACCUUGGUGUAGAGGAGUAUUUUGGAAAAUGUUAGAUGAGAAACUCAAGGGUUUGGAGGCAUGGAACAUGGAAACCAUUAACAAAGAAAAUGGCAUUGUUUCUUUUUUUCUUUUUUAAAGUAGGUGUCAUGUACACUGCAGGGCUUGAACUCAUGACCCUGAGAUCAAGAGUCACAUGCUUAACCAACUGAGCCACCCAGGCACCUGAUGCCAUAGUUUCUAAAACCAAACUUGAAUAAGACGAGAGGGAGUCUGAUGUUCAAGUAAUUCUAUAAAACAGAGUUUUGUCCUCAAGAACAGAAAUGACUGAAAAAAAAAAAAACAUACUGGAGAAAUACCAGUGGUAAUCAGCAAAUUAGAAAGAACGAA